GUGCACCUAAAAGCGUUUCCUUGCAAGCCCGUUAACUGCUCUUGGAAAUCGUAGAUGUGUGCAAAAUCAAUCCUCACAAUAGCAAGUGAUUUUAGUUCCUCUAACUCAAAUCCAUUUACAUUGUGAACAUAC
ensembl:snoRNA snoRNA:Psi28S-3316d snoRNA:Psi28S-3316d